GUGGGGAAUAUUGGACAAUGGGCGAAAGCCUGAUCCAGCCAUGCCGCGUGUGUGAAGAAGGUCUUCGGAUUGUAAAGCACUUUAAGUUGGGAGGAAGGGCAGUAAGUUAAUACCUUGCUGUUUUGACGUUACCAACAGAAUAAGCACCGGCUAACUUCGUGCCAGCAGCCGCGGUAAUAAGAAGGGUGCAAGCGUUAAUCGGAAUUACUGGGCGUAAAGCGCGCGUAGGUGGUUUUGUAAGUUGGAGGUGAAAUCCCCGGGCUCAACCUGGGAACUGCCUCCAAAACUGCAUGAAUAGAGUACGGUAGAGGGUAGUGGGAUUUCCUGUGUAGCGGUGAAAUGCGUAGAUAUAGGAAGGAACACCAGUGGCGAAGGCGACUACCUGGACUGAUACUGACACUGAGGUGCGAAAGCGUGGGGAGCAAACAGGAUUAGAAACCCGAGUAGUCC
rnacentral:rRNA from 1 species